ensembl:lncRNA
AGAGAUGACUCCCAAGUCCUCUUAUACCAUCUGGCAGACAUUCUCUUCCUCUUCAUUCACUCUUAGGCACCUUUUCAGAAAGCAUAUGAGAUGAUAGCUCUGAAGUUGUUUAGCCUUUAUUGAAAAUGUCCUACGCAUUAUUCCAGGUGUAAGAAGAUGAUGAGGAGAGCCCUGCGGAAACCAGGCAAAAAAAGAAGCCUUGAAUGCUGCCUAGAUCUCUGUUAACCUUUCGUCCUGCCAUCCACCAUCCUGCCAAUGGGCUGUAUUCCAGAGUUUGCCACUGUCCUGCUGGAUGACAUCAGCAAUAUAUUUGGUACUGCUGGUGCACUUGGCUGGAGAAGAAUUUUGGUGACAUCUCCCUCAUUUGGAAAAGCAAGCCGGAUUUCCCUUUACAAAUUAACUCUGUCUCCAGACGAACGGCUUCUGCCCAUCCUCUCUGCUCCAGGGAUGGUGCCCGUGUGCCUACAACGCUCUUUGUUUGGCUGCCACCAAAUCGAUGUGAAAGCACACAGCAGCAAGAACAUAAUCCAUGGAGGUGUUUGGAGCAGCACCAGGAGAAUGGGCUGGGGGGGUCUUGGGGGCUCAGGAGAGGUACUCAGGGACUGCCAAUGAGCAGCAGCCUCCAGAAGUGCCACCAGGAGUUGGCGGUUUUCUUACCCCCUCAUACCACACCGAUGCUUCCACAAAUGAGCCAAACCCAGCAUAGAUGCAGAAAUGGGCCAGGCAGCUGGGAUGAGCACAACUUGUGAGUAACGCUGGGCUGGAAAAGUAAGGAAAAAAAGAAUUUUCAGCCCAGGAAUACAAGUAGGAAAACGAAUUGGAAUCCAGAUCUCCGAGCUCAGCUGCCCUUCGUUGGGGCAGGGAGAGCUGCAGGGUGCAGAGAGCAGCUCAGAAAGCCCAAGGGUUGUUGUGGCUCAGUCACACCCUCUGAGCAGCAUCUUCUUGCUAUAGCACGUGCAGCUCCUGCCAGAACGACGUCCUUGUCUUCAGCUGGAAGAUGAAACAAAAAAAGAAUUGUGUGCAAUGAGCUAUUUGUGGAGAAAUUUGUCUCAACGUUUGCAUCACUAUUGCAAGAAAAGUCAGCACCAGGACUUUCCUACCAUAGUUAAGGACAGCUCUCAGCUGUGGGGAGCCGCAGGGCAAGUGGUAGGUGCAUGUUGCAACAAGGGAAGAAUUUUAUUUGUAUUGCUGGAAAUAGAGAGAUGAAGAAAACUGCAAGAACCUGUCAUUCUGGUCGAGCCCUUGGAUUUUGUCAGGAUUUAUUGAAUACUUCUUUGCAAUUAAAACUCCCACUGGGUUGUCUUGUGG